GGGGGAAGAGCGGGCGGGCGCCGGGGGCGAGGGCCGGAGGAGGGGGCCCGGGGCGCGCGGGGCGCGCGGGGCGGCGGGUAGCUAGGAGACCCGCACGCCGCUGAUACUUGAAGCGCUGCCCGGAGGAGCUGACGGCGGCCGCUCCCUGUGUCCCUGCUCGGGACUCGGACCUCGCGCGCAAGGGAGGAGAAGCAGGGCCAGGACCUUUAGGGUUGGGUCUUAACCAACUCAGAGGAAGAGCAGUGGAGCGUGGGAUCCUCCAUCUCUCAUAAAUGUCUGUUCAUGUAUGACACACUUCUGACAGACCACCAAGGAAGAUAGAAAUAAUUUGAGUGCUUGCUAGUUGCCAUAGUUGAGGAAUAAAGAGAAAGCUGAGUGAGAAGAGGAAGGAAAGACUUAUGCAUCUGAAGAGAAAGGACUCUGGGCAGUCAAUCAUUUUCUCCACCACUGGCCUUACAAGAUUGUUAAUUACCUGCAACUAGGUGGCACAGUGACUUCUGUGAGAUAAGUAGAGGUAAGUGGGUCAGGCAUAAUAUGGAAAAGGGCACUUUGCAAAGACAUGUCACAUAACCGCAAUUGUUACUUAAACUGGUCUUCAUAUAUUUGCUAAUCUCUGAUUCCUCUCCAGAUGUCAAGGGCAAUGAGAAGGAUCCACUUAAG
rnacentral:lncRNA from 1 species